AUACGGAGGAUCCGAGCGUUAUCCGGAUUUAUUGGGUUUAAAGGGUGCGCAGGCGGCCAUUUAAGUCAGCGGUUAAAUCUUGGGGCUCAACCCCAUUCUGCCGUUGAUACUGGGUGGCUUGAUUGCGGUCGAGGUUGGCGGAAUUCGUUGUGUAGCGGUGAAAUGCAUAGAUAUGACGAAGAACACCGAUUGCGUAGGCAGCUGACCAGACCGCAAAUGACGCUCAUGCACGAAAGUGCGGGGAUCGAACAGGAUUAGAUACCCUGGUAGUCCGCACAGUAAACGAUGAAUACUUGUUUUCGGCGAUAUAAUGUCGGAGGCAAAGCGAAAGCGAUAAGUAUUCCACCUGGGGAGUACGCCGGCAACGGUGAAACUUAAAGGAAUUGACGGGG
rnacentral:rRNA from 1 species